rnacentral:piRNA from 1 species
UGGCAAGACACACCAAUAGGCACAAAAGG